UACAGAGGGGGCUAGCGUUGUUCGGAAUUACUGGGCGUAAAGGGCGCGUAGGUGGCCUGUUAAGUCGAACGUGAAAUCCCCGGGCUCAACCCGGGAACUGCGUCCGAGACUGGCAGGCUCGAAUCCGGGAGAGGGAUGUGGAAUUCCAGGUGUAGCGGUGAAAUGCGUAGAUAUCGAGAGGAACACCUGCGGCGAAGGCGGGUUGCUGGGCUGACACUGACGCUGAGGCGCGAAAGCUAGGGGAGCGAACGGG
rnacentral:rRNA from 1 species